rnacentral:rRNA from 1 species
GACGAACGCUGGCGGCGUGCUUAACACAUGCAAGUCGAACGGAAAGGCCCUGCUUUUGUGGGUUGCUCGAUUGCCGAACACGUGAGUAACACACGAGUAACCUGCCCUUGACUUUGGGAUAACUUCUGGGAACUGGGGCGCAUACCCGAUAUGAUCUCCUGCUCCAUGGUGGGCGUUGGAAAGUUUCGGCUGUUGUGGCUGGACUCGCUGCUUAUCAGCUUGUUUGUGUGGUAGUUGAUUACCAAGGGUUUGACGGGUAGGCGGCAUGGGAGGGUGAACGGGGACAAUGGGACUGAGAGACGGAGCAGAAGCGUACGGGAGGCAGCAGUGGGGAAUAUUGCACAAUGGGGGGGAGUCUGAUGCAGAAAUGUUGCGAGCGGGAUGACGGGUUACGGGUUAUAAACAGAUGUGGAAGGUGACGAAGAGGGAGUGACGGUAAUGGGUAAAGAAGCAACGGCUAACUACGUG